rnacentral:rRNA from 1 species
AUUGAACGCUAGCGGCAGGCCUAACACAUGCAAGUCGAACGCGUGGCGGACGGGGGAGUAAUGUCUGUGGGACUGUCCGAAGGAGGGGGAUAACUCCUGGAAACGGUAUCUAAUACCCCAUACCAUCGUAUGUGCCCAGAUGGGAUUAGCUAGUGGGUGGGGUAACGGCUCCCCUAGGCGACGAUCCCUAGCUGGUGUGUGAGGAUGACCAGCCACACUGGAACUGAGACACGGUCCAGACUCCUACGGGAGGCAGCAGUGGGGAAUAUUGGACAAUGGGGGCAAGCCUGAUGCAGCCAUGCCGCGUGUAUGAAGAAGGCCUUCGGGUUGUAAAGUACUUUCGGCGAGGAGGCGUUAUUUGCAGAAGAAGCACCGGCUAACUACGUGCCAGCAGCCGCGGUAAUUC